rnacentral:rRNA from 1 species
CCUACGGGAGGCAGCAGUGGGGGAUAUUGCACAAUGGGGGGAACCCUGAUGCAGCGACGCCGCGUGAGCGAUGAAGUAUUUCGGUAUGUAAAGCUCUAUCAGCAGGGAAGAAAAUGACGGUACCUGACUAAGAAGCCCCGGCUAACUACGUGCCAGCAGCCGCGGUAAUACGUAGGGGGCAAGCGUUAUCCGGAUUUACUGGGUGUAAAGGGAGCGUAGACGGCAGUGCAAGUCUGAAGUGAAAGGCAAGGGCUCAACCUUUGGACUGCUUUGGAAACUGUGCUGCUGGAGUGUCGGAGAGGCAAGUGGAAUUCCUAGUGUAGCGGUGAAAUGCGUAGAUAUAUGGAGGAACACCAGUGGCGAAGGCGACGAUCUGGCCUGCAACUGACGCUCAGUCCCGAAAGCGUGGAGAGCAAAUAGGAUUAGAUACCCCUGUAGUC